AGAAAAUCUGAUUAAGGUUAAAAGGCAGAGUACCUGACGAAAGCUUUCAGUGCAUUUUUUUCCCCAGUUAAUGCUGCAUUAAGUUCAGUAAAAGCUGGUCUUCCAAUGCCAUUACCAAAAAAGACUCUCAAUUUCAAUUUUUAGGGACAGUCCCAUUUACUCUUACAGUAAUUGGUGACAGUUUAGGAUUGAAUCAAAUUAAUUUUUGAGAAAUUCCCUAUGUAACAGCAAAAUCAAUGAAGCACACAACUUUUGAGGUAAAGCAUUGGGAAUGUAAACCUACCCCCUUCUCUUCCAACUAUACGCAAGAACAUCUAGUCCUAUUACCUGUGCAUCUGCAGUUCUGAAUAACUAUUCUCAAAUUUGGAGCCCUGUAAAUUUAAAUAACUAUAAAAGAUUUAAAGUUCCAUCUCAAGCCUGGACUUUAAGCAAUGUUUUAAGCUGAAAUGUCAUUAUUUCUUUAUCAGAAGGUUUAAAAGAAACAGGUACCCAGUGACUUGGUGGCUUAGGAAGAACACUCGGUGAGGGUGGUUCACUAAACUUUGCUCCAGCAUAGUUCUGAUUAGUCUGAGGUGAGAAAAACAGGUUACGAUUUGAUAAAUUAGGACUCCAAUUUUGAUUACAGGGGAAAUGAACGUUGUUCUUUCCUGCCUUCUGCAUGGCCUGCCAUGCACCAGACAGUGAGUUGCAUCCAUGUCCUCUUUCUUUCUUCAUAUAGGUUUUCUUCAUCUGUGAAUUCUGGUCCUUAUUCUUCUGCCUGUUUUUAAGUUGUUGAUGGUUCUUGGUAAUAUUUCUAGACUGGGGAACUGGAACGUUGAACCUCUCUCCACCACCCAUUUUCAACUUAAAUGUCACCUUUCAGUAGUCUUCUCCGAUUCCACACUCUCCAAUUCUUGCCCCCUUUCUUGCUUCCAAGCCUGAAAGAGUAGGUGCUGCCUUUCACUAGACUCCUUCCUUUGGCUAGGAACAGAGGUUUUCAUGGGCCGAUCCGCUGUGUUCAGCCAGGCAGCCGAGCCCAACAUCAGAUUCUCAGCACUAAACUCCAAGGGGAGAAGUCACAACUGCAUGAAAGAGAGUCUGAAAUCAGACACAGGGAACAACUGUUUUCCCUUUCAGGUUUAGAACUACAAAGAAACAUUACCAGAAGAAGAUAAAAUUCACAGAAUUAGCAGUCACCCGUGUCUCUCUGCGUUGUUAAAGCCGAAUAUACGCUUCAAACCCGACAGUACUAGUUUUAUUUUAUUUAUAUUAACCUUAUUGUCAUACUUAGCAUUUCACAGAGAACAGCAUUUUCACUGUGCUGCUGACAGCUUAGUCCAAUAAGCAUUUUAAUUAGGAUGAGACGAACAAGACCCUGAUCCUUGUUCUCAUAUGGAAAAAAAGUCUAACUCAACGGGAAGCGCUCCGGGAGGAAAAAGCCGAGGGGGCGAAACCCCCUGAGGGCACGAAGCGCCCAGCAGCGGGCACAGCUCCGACCCAUCGCAACUCCCACUGCUGCCUCGGGCCGCUUCCCCACCCUUGUCGGCCCCUCCGUCGCCACGUCAUUCCUCGGCAGCUCUUGAACAGUUCGGCGCCCGGCCCGUGGUUCUCCCGAACUCAAUUCUCAGGGGCCGCGCUCCCCUCUCCGCCCCCGCCCCGAUCCCAACAAUGGCGCGGCGUCGCGAGCACAACAUGGCGGCACCCGGCCCUUCCGCAGCGCCCCACCCUUACCGACUUCUGUCCGUGCCGUCCGCCUACAGCCACAGACAAACGCGCAGGCCCUUCCGAACCGACCCCGACCCCGCCGCUCACUGCCGGCACUUCCCCGAGCCCCCACGUAGCAAAGCCAACCGCACCACCGCUUCUCCGUCCCCCAUACAAAAUGGCGGUCACUCCCAGCGUCUUUUAAAACCUCUCCCUGCCUCCCAGAUCGCCGUGUUCCAGCCAAUAUGAGCGCGCUGCAUGAUCCCUGCAGCCAAUGAGAGACAAGUCCCGCCCACCGCCACGAUGGGGCGGGGUCCGGUUUGAAUCCCCGCAGCGCGGGAGCGGUGCUUCGUGCCUGCCCGGAAGAGGUGCCGCUCCGCGUUCGUACGAACCCGGCUGGGGAGGGGCUGCUCCCUUCUCUCCUGUCGUUCUAUUUCCUGGUGCCCUCUGUUAUGUCUGACGGCCUUGCGGUGGUUCUCAUUUAGAAGACCACAAUGCUUGCUGUAACCAAACGCUUCAGCCUCAGAAGUGCCCCAGCCACCUCAGACACGGCCUGUGCUGCACCGCACUGUUCACCUCAGCAAAACCGUCACCUCACGGAGCCCCAGAAUCGCUACAGCUGGGGACGGCAGCACCCAGCCCUGCGGCACUGCCCUCAAUGAGCUCUCUGGCACUCUGCGUGUUUUCUGCAGUGGAAGAAAGGAACAGAAGCUGUGGGCCCACGAAGCCUCAGGUGCUGCACCUGAAGGCCCAGCACAGGCCUUGGUCCUCACUGAGGAUCUGCCUUACUCAGCUCCUCCUCUCCACCCUCUACCACACUUCUACCACCCUAACAACUGAAUGAGGCUCUUCCAGCUGUAACAUUCUCAUCUGUACCACCUGUCCCUCAGGCAGGGCACUGCAGGAGAUGAUGUUUUGCAUAAAUGUUCCAUUUAAUCCUCAGAACUUCAUUAGCCCCAAAUGGAGAUGCUCCUGGCUGCUCACCAUCUCGCAGCUCCUGUUGGAACAUACAGCAGUAAGUGACAAGAGCACAUGAAAGUCCUCAGCCCAUUUGAACCAACUGACUUUUCAUCCUAUCAGCAAGAAAAGCAUUUCUACCCUUGCAAUGCACACAGAGCAGUUCUCAGAACAGCUCCACUUGGUGCAGGCACUGCCGGUGGGGAUGGAGGGUUAGCCCAGCAUGGUCUGCUUCUGAGCCACGGUAUGCAGAAAAAAAUCAUACUGUGUUGGUUUUUAGUAUUUUUUUUCUCAGCAUUUCCUCAGGAGCAGCAUCUCCUGGGUGCCUGGGCAUGCUGCUACCUUCAGUACCACUAAGUCAGAUGGAUGCACUGAAUUCAGCCACCUCAGGUGACAGAAGCAGACCUUUAAGCACAGCAGAGCAAGGGGUGCCCCAGGAGUGGUUGCUGUGGUUGGUUCUACGUUUGUUCAGUGCCAGCUGACAAAAACAAAGAAACAGGUGGGAAAAAAAAGAAAGAAAAAAAAAAAAAAGCAGAAGGUGAUCUUUGUGGGAAUAUAGAACUGAUCACUGAUCUCAGCAGUUGGCAUGGAGUGGGGAGUUUCCAAGCCAGGGCUGCUCACAGCUGUGUUAGCUGCAGAUAAGGCAACAAACUCAAGCUGGAGGCCAACAAAAAGCCCUCAGGCUAUAGAAGUCAUCCUGCCAGGGC
rnacentral:lncRNA from 1 species